GCGGACACCGCUGCCAGCAGUUUGCUCUUCGGAAAUUCCUCCCUGGACAUCAGCUACAUCCCCAGGGCUCGGGGGAGAAAGGGAUUUGGGAGCUGUUUGCACACAGCCAGCUGAAGACUAAAGCCAGAGUGCAUGUCGCGGAUCGGAGUGACGCAACCUCCGGUUUCGUCCUGUUCGGCUAUUUAGGCCUGCGCUCAGGUGCAGACUCGCAUCAAACAGCCCGUGUGCUGGUGCGGAAGGACACGGCAUGCACCGGCAAAGGGGAUCUACUGCAACGGGCAGUUUCAAAGACCAUAAGAAUGGCCACUGACUGGGUCGGACCAUAGGUCCCUCUUGCCCAGUCCCGUGCCAGGCAGCGGCAGAGAGCGGAUGCUGAAAGGGAGAGUGAACAGGGCAUAACCAGGGCUUUUCCUCACUGUUCCUCUUACUUGCAGCCUCCAGCAAUGAAGGCCCUUGCUUCGGAGGCCGUGCCCUUCACCCCUUUCUCAAUGGCCGCUGCCCCUGUCCUCCAUGAACUUGCUCAACCCUUUUUGAAUCUGUCUAGACUGUCAGCUUCCACCACAUCUGGUGGCAACAAGUCCCACCCUUUAAUGGCCCACUGGGGGAAAAAGAGUUUCCUUGUGUUAGUUUUAAACUUACAACCUACCGGAUCCCUUUUGUGAACCCCUCAUACUUAUAUUGAGAGCUAGUAACGAAUAAAUCCCUAUGGACGUCCACUUUGCCAGUUAGCAUUUUGCAAACCCUUCUCGUGUUCCCCCUUCAGCAUCUCUCUUCUAAACCGAACAGGCCUGGCCUCUCUACUCUCUCCUCCCCUCCAUGCCCCUCAUCCUCCUGGUUGCCCUUCUCUGGACCUCCUCUAGCUUUCCUAUAUCCUUUUCGAGGUGUGGGAGACCAGAACCGGGCACAGGAUUCAAGGUGCGGAUGCAGUGUGCAUUUAUAAAAGGGCACGAUGAUACUUUCCUCUCUUAUUUAUAUAUCCCCU